rnacentral:lncRNA from 1 species
AGAGAGAGAUAGAGGCUUUUAAUUUCUUUUGUUUUUCAUUUCUCACACUUUUCCUUUUUUUAUCUUCUUUCCCUUUUGGGGUGCAUUUUCUGCUUAUUUAUAGCAUGCAGUGGUCAAUGGUGAUCUGAUCACUUGGGUUGCGGCCACGCUGUACUUGUCAUAAUGUGAUAAAUUUAAUUCUUAUGAGCUUUUGAUCAAUAUCUGCGAUCUAUUUUAAUGUGGAGCAUUUACUCACUUCAAUAAUGU